rnacentral:rRNA from 1 species
AGUGAACGCUGGCGGUAGGCCUAACACAUGCAAGUCGAACGGCAGCACAGUAAGAGCUUGCUCUUACGGGUGGCGAGUGGCGGACGGGUGAGGAAUACAUCGGAAUCUACUUUUUCGUGGGGGAUAACGUAGGGAAACUUACGCUAAUACCGCAUACGACCUACGGGUGAGAGCAGGGGAUCUUCGGACCUUGCGCGAUUGAAUGAGCGGAUGUCGGAUUAGCUAGUUGGCGGGGUAAAGGCCCACUAAGGCGACGAUCCGUAGCUGGUCUGGGAGGAUGAUCAGCGACACUGGAACUGAGACACGGUCCAGACUCCUACGGGAGGCAGCAGUGGGGAAUAUUGGACAAUGGGCGCAAGCCUGAUCCAGCCAUACCGCGUGGGUGAAGAAGGCCUUCGGGUUGUAAAGCCCUUUUGUUGGGAAAGAAAAGCAGCAGGUUAAUACCCCGCUGUUCUGACGGUACCCAAAGAAUAAGCACCGGCUAACUUCGUG